rnacentral:rRNA from 1 species
UGUAGCUGGCCUUCCGAGGCAUGUGCACGCUCUGCUCAUCCACUCUACCCCUGUGCACUUACUGUAGGUUGGCGUGGGCUCCUUAACGGGAGCAUUCUGCCGGCCUAUGUAUACUACAAACACUUUAAAGUAUCAGAAUGUAAACGCGUCUAACGCAUCUAUAAUACAACUUUUAGCAACGGAUCUCUUGGCUCUCGCAUCGAUGAAGAACGCAGCGAAAUGCGAUAAGUAAUGUGAAUUGCAGAAUUCAGUGAAUCAUCGAAUCUUUGAACGCACCUUGCGCUCCUUGGUAUUCCGAGGAGCAUGCCUGUUUGAGUGUCAUGGAAUUCUCAACUUAUAAAUCCUUGUGAUCUAUAAGCUUGGACUUGGAGGCUUGCUGGCCCUCGUUGGUCGGCUCCUCUUGAAUGCAUUAGCUUGAUUCCGUACGGAUCGGCUCUCAGUGUGAUAAUUGUCUACGCUGUGACCGUGAAGUGUUUUGGCGAGCUUCUAACCGUCCAUUAGGAC